GCAGACAGACAAAUACCAGAGCUGCAGCCACGCAGGGACACCUGUGGGGUGAGCAGCAGCUGCAGAGCAUCCUGUGCCCUCUGUGCCAGCCAUGUCCCUGGUGGUGAAGGAGAAGAACCAUGUGCGGUUGGUGUUCCUGGGUGCUGCUGGCGUGGGCAAGACAUCCCUGAUCCGUCGCUUCCUGCUGGACACCUUCGAGCCCAAGCACCGGCGCACGGUGGAGGAGCUGCACAGCAAGGAGUACGAGGUGUGUGGGGCCACGGUCAAGGUGGAAAUCCUGGACACCAGUGGCAGCUACUCCUUCCCAGCCAUGAGGAAACUCUCCAUCCAGAACAGCGACGCCUUCGCCCUGGUCUAUGCUGUAGAUGACGCCGAGUCCUUCGAGAGCAUCAAGACCCUGCGGGAGGAGAUCCUGGAGGUGAAGGAGGACAAGUUCCCUCCCAUCGUGGUGGUUGGCAACAAGGCAGAGAGCGGCGGCGAGCGGCAGGUGCCGGCGGAGGACGCGCUGUCGCUGGUGGAGCUGGACUGGAACAGUCGCUUCGUGGAGACGUCGGCCAAGGACAACGAGAACGUCCUGGAGGUCUUCAGGGAGCUGCUGCAGCAAGCAAACCUGCCCAGCAGGCUCAGCCCAGCGCUCUGCAAGAGGAGGGAGACCCUGCCCAAGGAGCAGACACUCAGGCCACCCAUGAACAAGACCAACAGCUGCUCGGUGUGCUGAGCCGG